CUUGCGUCUGCACCUUUGGAUUCUCCCCCGGCUGUCUGAAGUACAGAGCCCUCCAGGAGAGUUGAACAUGCCGCAGGGGCUGAGAACCACGGAUUUAAAGCAAGGAGGCUUAAAACCCGAGAAGACAAUUCAAAUCCAAAGUGCAGAAAGGGAUCAAGGGUCGUCAGGCCAGUGAAUCCUCUGCUGGGACUUGAGUUUGGGGAGCACUGGC